rnacentral:rRNA from 1 species
UACGUAGGCAGCAAGCGUUGUUCGGAGUUACUGGGCGUAAAGGGUGUGUAGGCGGUUGUUUUAAGUUUGGUGUGAAAUCUCCCGGCUUAACCGGGAGGGUGCGCCGAAUACUGAAUGACUUGGAGUGCGGGAGAGGAAAGUGGAAUUCCUGGUGUAGCGGUGAAAUGCGUAGAUAUCAGGAGGAACACCGGUGGUGUAGACGGCUUUCUGGACCGUAACUGACGCUGAGACACGAAAGCGUGGGUAGCAAACAGG